rnacentral:rRNA from 1 species
UACGGAGGGGGCUAGCGUUGUUCGGAAUUACUGGGCGUAAAGCGCACGUAGGCGGCUUUGCAAGUUAGAGGUGAAAGCCCGGGGCUCAACUCCGGAAUUGCCUUUAAAACUGCAUCGCUAGAAUUGUGGAGAGGUAAGUGGAAUUCCGAGUGUAGAGGUGAAAUUCGUAGAUAUUCGGAAGAACACCAGUGGCGAAGGCGACUUACUGGACACAUGUUGACGCUGAGGUGCGAAAGCGUGGGGAGCAAACAGG